GCCCUUAUAGUUUAACGGAUAGAAUGCUUCGUUGCGGUCGAAGUGAUCGAGGUUCAAUUCCUCGUGGGGGCG
rfam:Candidatus Pacearchaeota archaeon CG1_02_32_21 cg1_0.2_scaffold_1504_c, whole genome shotgun sequence.